rnacentral:lncRNA from 1 species
CCAUUAUGGCUUUCUUUGGCGUUAUCUAAGCCUUCUUGAGGUUUCUAGCGCGUGAGGUGUAGUUACCCAAGUUAUAAUCACCUUUAGGUCUUAGUUAGUACCCAGAAAAUUGGCGUAGAGUAAUAUUAGUCAAAUCAAUCAGUUUAGGCUACACAUUUUACUGUCUCAUUUCCUGGGACAGAUGCAUAAUAGGGUAGAAGAAAAAAAUGUGUUGAAGCAUGAUUAAAGAUUUCUAUGCUCAUCUUAGAUGUCACGUAUAUCAUCAUUCACAUCGAAAAAACUUCAUUUUAUUUUUGUGAUUUCUGUUGUCAUUAGCAUUUGUUGGAUAAUAUUUCAGCUUGAAGUAAUUGAGAAAUGCUUUGGAACUGUACCUUUACAAACACUUUCCACAUUCUUGCUUGAAGAUGAUGUUUCCUGUCAUAGAAAACAGGGUAACUGCCUUCUCACAACUGGCUACAGACAGUGAAAGACAGUAAGAGUUGAGAUGUUGAGGUUGUAAGCACUCAACUCUGUGGCCUAAAUGAAUUUUCCACAACUGCUAACUGGUUUCUUAUCUGCUCUUUGGAUUUUGUCUGAUAGAUGGGAUAUCCCCAAUGCUUUUGGGUGCUGUUACGACAGGCAAUCUUCAUUAUAAC